rnacentral:lncRNA from 1 species
GCAGCUUCUCACCAGCAGACCCCAGUGCAGGGUGCACCGCAGGGGAAGGGCCCACAGACUGGGCUCCUGGCCAGGAUACCUGAGCUUGCAUUCUACCUCAAAAGCAGUUGGGGAAGCCAGAGCCAAGCCCCUCUCCACCUACGUCCUGAAUUUCCCUCAGUCUAAGGCUGGGGGUGAGGCCGAGGACCUCUAAAUCCGCAAACACACCAAAAUACCCACCCAUACGCAUACACACCCACACUCUGUUCCCCCUCUGAAACCUGGAAUCACUCCUGCCUGCCCCACCCAGCUCCACCCACCCUGGCUAGGCAGGUUCUGUAGAGACCUGCUCCGCUGUCUCUCUGGCACCCCCACCCCCAUCCCAGCUCCCAGAAGGUACCUGCCCCCCAACACAGCACACAAAAGCAGACACGUGUGCACAUUCAUGUCCCAUAGCACCCCAUUCCCUAGCCUUCCCCAGACCCAUUCCUAGUCCGUCUUGAAGAGAACACUGGGGGUGGAAAGGCUGCAGGAGAAAAGAAAACAGGGGAAUUACUCAAGUGCAAGAUUAAAGGCAAUAAUGAGCAAUCAGACCGAACUGGAAUGACAGUAGGGGAAGGUGAAGAGACUUUGGGAAAAGGAAGAGCACUGAAGUCAGACCUGGCACAGCCUUUUACGAGCUAUGUAAUCUCAGGUGGGGUUCCCUGGGAAGUGGAUUCCUGAACUCUGAGAUCGUAUACAGGAGAGUGCCAGCAGGAGAGUUCUUGAGAACACCUGUGAGGUGUGAGGGAAGCUGCAAUAAGCCGAGAGAGAAACUGAAAAGCAAUGCAAUGGCAACAGAGGCUUCUGUCCAUCCCAUGGGGGCUCUCAAGCUGGGAUAACUUUGUAACCCCACAUCAACCAGUCAUUGCCCUAGGGAAAGAGCAACACCUCAGGCAAGGCGGCUUUCUUCCUCCAAAGGCAAUUCCUGGAGAGGGACUCAGCUGUGAGUCAACACUUCCACAGCUGGAGAAGUGAGUGGAGCACACCACAGAAUUCACUGUACGUAUCUCAUGGUCUUCAAAACCCAGCUCAGAGUUUACCGGCUGCCUUCCUCACCAACACCCUCUCUCAGAGUGAGAAGAGCAACAAGAGCGACAGCGGCAGCGAGGCCAAUUGAUUAUCUGAAGAAAUUCGGAGCUAGCAGUAGAACAGCUGCAGCUUCCCCCUCUCACCACCUCCAGGCCCUCAGGGAUCCCUGAGGGGAGGGGCCCCCUAAGCCCUUCUGCUCUCCAGCCCAGGCAAAGAGACAAGAGAGGGAGGCAGGGAGCCCAGAGGACUGUGGCUGCUGAGCACAGAGAAGCACAAAGCUCUCAGGGCCAGGAAUGGAAGACUUGGCUUCUAAUCCCAGGCCAUCAUCAUGGGUGAGUCACGUCACCUGUCUGGACAGUAGUUUACCUGCCUUUGAAAUAAAGUUGUUGGAUUCAGUGAUUUCUGUGUUCCCGUCCAACUCUGGCCCUUUGGAGUCCUGAAGUUCUCCCUGAUCUCAGUUCAGCCUUCCCUUUUGCCAGGCUCUGGGCAGAGCACAUGUCAUUUAACUCACAUGGGAAGGGGAAGAUGUCAAGUCCUCCUGUAUGGAAGCUCCUCCCUAGGUCUAACUCAAGCCCUUCAUGCUGCUUAUGUCAUUCUUUGUUCAUCAAAGAUGAAAACCCAUAGCUGGGCAUGGUGAUUCAUGCCUGUAAUCCCAGUAUUUUAGGAGGCCAAGGCAGCAGGAUCACUUCAGGCCAGGAGUUAGAGACCAGUCUGACCAACAUGGCGAAAACCCAUCUCUACUAAAAACACAAAAAUUAGCCGGGCAUGACAGCGGGCGCCUGUAGUCCCAGCUACUCAGGAGGCUGAACCACGAGAAUGGCUUGAAUGGGGAGGUGGAUGUUGCAGUGGGCCAAGAUCCCGCCACUGCACUCCAGCCUGGGCAAUAGAGCAAGACUCUGUCUCAAAAAGAUAAAAAGAAAAAAGAAAAUAUUUCAGGGACUGAAAGUUGUCUCUGCAUUUCCCUCCUGCUGUUUGCCUUCAGCCUUCUCGUAUGACCUUAAGUUUGGAGAGGAUCUUCUAAUGAACCUAGCCAGUGUUCCAUCUGAGGCAGCAAUGUGCUCUAUGAUUUCUCUGCGUGUGGUUGACUCUCCAGCUUCUCUAUUUGGAGUUCUCCUCUUGAGGCAGUCAGUGCCAUUGCUGGACAGCUCCAGGUGUUGCAAAAUUUUUCUUCAAAUUAAAAUCUGCUUUCUUCUAACUUCUACUCACGGGUUUUGUUCGGCCUACUGGGGCCCCACAGAAUAUCCAUUUUUGAUUCUUCUUUCAAUAUUUAAAGAUGGGUGUCAUAUUACCCCCAAGUCUACUCUUAUCAAGACACAUAUCCUC